rnacentral:lncRNA from 1 species
ACCCCUCCAGUUCCUCUUCCAGGUCUGUUGACGCCUUGAGUAAUUCUGUGGAGAUUCAAGUGGCAAAGAACUUCUCAGCUCUUGUCUUUGGGAACAGCACUGGAUUCCAUCUGAAGGCAUGCCACCCCCAUGGCCGCAGCAAACUGGUAGCCAAAACCCUCUACAAAUCUUCCAACACGUCAAAACCAGGUACCACGCCAAUGGCCCGAACGGUCCUGCAAAAUAACUUGGUUCCCGUUCUGGAUGCACAAGCCUGCGACCUCAUCGGGCCGGCCCUUUUCGGACCAGCCGGAAAUUUGCUGAGCCAA